GGGGUCGGGCCUGGGUCCGACGGUAGUGGGUAGCGGGUCUCGGGUUGCGGGUUGCAGGUUGCAAGCCGCAGGCCCCAGGCAACUGCCUUCCCGGCGCCAUGUUCGGCUCCAGUCGUGGAGGCGUGCGCGGCGGGCAGGACCAGUUCAACUGGGAGGACGUGAAGACUGACAAGCAGCGGGAGAACUACCUGGGCAACUCGCUGAUGGCGCCGGUAGGCCGCUGGCAGAAGGGCCGCGACCUCACCUGGUACGCCAAGGGCCGGGCGCCAUGCGCGGGCCCGAGCCGCGAGGAGGAACUGGCAGCCGUGCGGGAGGCGGAGCGCGAGGCGCUGCUGGCCGCCCUUGGCUACAAGAACGUGAAGAAGCAGCCCACGGGCCUGAGCAAGGAGGACUUCGCGGAGGUCUGCAAGCGGGAAGGAGGCGACCCCGAGGAGAAGGGCGUGGACCGGCUGCUGGGGCUGGGGAGCGCAAGUGGCUCCGUGGGCCGCGUGGCGAUGUCCCGAGAGGACAAGGAGGCCGCCAAACUGGGGCUGUCUGUGUUCACGCAUCACCGCGUAGAGAGCGGCGGGCCCGGGACCUCGGCAGCCUCGGCCAGGAGGAAGCCGCGGGCGGAGGAUCAGACGGAAAGCAGGGGAGUUUCUCGGGUCACCCUUGAAGAGAGGUCCUAAGUACUGGCAGUGGUCGGGCGCUGUGCCGUGGGAGGGCACUCAGGACCUGGGGCGGGGCCUUUUCCUGCCGUGGGUGGCACCUCCAGGGCUUCUCCUGGAUGGUGAGCCUGGGCCUGACCCUAAGAGUGGCCUGGUGGGUGCAGUUGUGAGAGCCACAGGAAAAGCAAGAAGGAGAAGAAGAAAAAGAAAAAGAGGAAACACAAGAAAGAGAAGAAGAAGAAAGACAAAGAGCACAGGCGGCCAGCUGAGGCCACCUCCUCUCCCACAUCUCCUGAGAGGCCCAGGCACCACCACCAUGACUCCGACUCCAACUCCCCCUGCUGUAAGAGGAGGAAGCGGGGACACAGUGGGGACAGGAGGAGCCCGUCUCGCAGGUGGCAUGACAGAGGCUCUGAGGCCUGAUGGCUGGACCCUGCUCACUGCUGUUGUGGGACCCUGAACCCUCCCUUCACCUUGCUUGCCUCCUGCCUCGGAAGCUCCUUGGGUGUGGGUGAAGCCCGAGGCUGCUCCUGUGGAAGUGGCUCUGGGCACCAGCCUGUGGGGCUAAAGACUUGACAGCUAGCUCUGGAGCAGCCGGCUUCCUGGAAAACCUCCAGGUUUCGCAUACCAGGGAUGGCCCCUGGCUUGGCCUGCGAAGGUGAACCUGCCCAGAUUUAUCAGUAGAGGCUGGACUCCCUCUGUGUCCUGCCCAUGGUUGCAGCAGCCAUGGGCCUAUGAGCGGUCUAACUGUGGCCAAGUAUGGUGACCUCUAUUUUUCUUUAUAUUGACUCUUUGUAUUUCAAUAAAUAUAUUUUAAAAGGAA